GAUAUUUCCUAGCCUGGAAUCAUUUGACACCGAAGCCCUGACUGUUCGAGCAGUUGGGGCUUCACUG
rnacentral:antisense_RNA from 1 species